rnacentral:rRNA from 1 species
UACACUCCUACGGGAGGCAGCAGUGGGGAAUUUUGGACAAUGGGCGAAAGCCUGAUCCAGCAAUGCCGCGUGAGUGAAGAAGGCCUUCGGGUUGUAAAGCUCUUUUGUCAGGGAAGAAACGGUGAAAGCUAAUAUCUUUUGCUAAUGACGGUACCUGAAGAAUAAGCACCGGCUAACUACGUGCCAGCAGCCGCGGUAAUACGUAGGGUGCAAGCGUUAAUCGGAAUUACUGGGCGUAAAGCGUGCGCAGGCGGUUUUGUAAGUCUGAUGUGAAAUCCCCGGGCUCAACCUGGGAAUUGCAUUGGAGACUGCAAGGCUAGAAUCUGGCAGAGGGGGGUAGAAUUCCACGUGUAGCAGUGAAAUGCGUAGAUAUGUGGAGGAACACCGAUGGCGAAGGCAGCCCCCUGGGUCAAGAUUGACGCUCAUGCACGAAAGCGUGGGGAGCAAACAGGAUUAGAAACCCAGUAGUCC